rnacentral:ncRNA from 1 species
UACUGACUGCCCUAGCAGACGCUCGUAGAGAUGGUAUGACUUACUUACGAGGUAAAAAUG